rnacentral:rRNA from 1 species
CGGGGUCAACUCGGAGGAAGGUGGGGAUGACGUCAAGUCAUCAUGCCCCUUAUGUCCAGGGCUUCACGCAUGCUACAAUGGCCGGUACAAAGGGCUGCGAAACCGCAAGGUGGAGCGAAUCCCAAAAAGCCGGUCUCAGUUCGGAUUGGGGUCUGCAACUCGACCCCAUGAAGUCGGAGUCGCUAGUAAUCGCAGAUCAGCAACGCUGCGGUGAAUACGUUCCCGGGCCUUGUACACACCGCCCGUCACGUCAUGAAAGUCGGCAACACCCGAAGCCGGUGGCCUAACCCUUGUGGAGGGAGCCGUCGAAGGUGGGGCUGGCGAUUAGGACGAAGUCGUAACAAGGUAGCCGUACCGGAAGGUGCGGCUGGAUCACCU